GGUCUCGUCGUCUAGUGGCUAGGACAUGCCCCUUUCACGGGCAGAACACGGGUUCGAUUCCCGUCGAGACUACCA
rnacentral:tRNA from 1 species